rnacentral:rRNA from 1 species
UACGAAGGGGCUAGCGUUGUUCGGAUUUACUGGGCGUAAGGGCGCGUAGGCGGGCGAUUAAGUCAGGGGUGAAAUCCCAAGGCUCAACCUUGGAACUGCCUUUGAUACUGGUUGUCUUGAGUCCGGGAGAGGUGAGUGGAACUGCGAGUGUAGAGGUGAAAUUCGUAGAUAUUCGCAAGAACACCAGUGGCGAAGGCGAAUCACCUGGGGUUGUUCUGACGCUGAGGAGCGAA